rnacentral:rRNA from 1 species
GAUGAACGCUGGCGGCGUGCCUAAUACAUGCAAGUCGAGCGAACGGACGAGAAGCUUGCUUCUCUGAUGUUAGCGGCGGACGGGUGAGUAACACGUGGAUAACCUACCUAUAAGACUGGGAUAACUUCGGGAAACCGGAGCUAAUACCGGAUAAUAUUAUGAACCGCAUGGUUCAAAAGUGAAAGACGGUCUUGCUGUCACUUAUAGAUGGAUCCGCGCUGCAUUAGCUAGUUGGUAAGGUAACGGCUUACCAAGGCAACGAUGCAUAGCCGACCUGAGAGGGUGAUCGGCCACACUGGAACUGAGACACGGUCCAGACUCCUACGGGAGGCAGCAGUAGGGAAUCUUCCGCAAUGGGCGAAAGCCUGACGGAGCAACGCCGCGUGAGUGAUGAAGGUCUUCGGAUCGUAAAACUCUGUUAUUAGGGAAGAACAUAUGUGUAAGUAACUAUGCACAUCUUGACGGUACCUAAUCAGAAAGCCACGGCUAACUACGUG